rnacentral:rRNA from 1 species
UACGUAGGGUGCGAGCGUUGUCCGGGAAUUAUUGGGCGUAAAGAGCUCGUAGGCGGCUGUCCACGUCGGAUGUGAAAGCUCGGGGCUCAACCCUGAGAGGCCAUUCGAUACGGGAUAGCUAGAGGUAGGUAGGGGAGAUUGGAAUUCCUGGUGUAGCGGUGAAAUGGCGCAGAUAUCAGGAGGAACACCGGUGGCGAAGGCGGAUCUCUGGGCCUUACCUGACGCUGAGGAGCGAAAGCUGGGGGAGC